rnacentral:rRNA from 1 species
UACGGGGGGGGCGAAGCGUUGUUCGGAAUUACUGGGCGUAAAGGGCUCGUAGGUGGCCAACUAAGUCAGACGUGAAAUCCCCAGGCUCAACUUGGGAACUGCGUCUGAUACUGGAUGGCUUGAAUUCGGGGAGAGGGAUGCAGAAUUCCAGGUGUAGCGGUGAAAUGCGUAGAUAUCUGGAGGAAUACCGGUGGCGAAGGCGGCAUCCUGGACCGAUAUUGACACUGAUGAGCGAAAGCUAGGGGAGCAAACGGG